UCCAAAUAAAAUGAAAUGCAAAAAUAUUUAAUGUGUUAGUGCGCUCAACAGCAGAACUCAGGCCCUGAUAAAGCUUGGAUGGUGCACGGCCAGGAAGACAGCAUGGCAAUCUGAAGUCUGUUACCCUGUUGGAAACACAAGGUAGUUUUGAAUAAGAAAUAAAAUUAAGGAAGGGAGGAAAAUAAUGCAGAUGGUGGGAGUACUGUUAUGCUGUUACCUGUCAAUAUGUAAAACAUCAGGGAGGUGCUCUCACUUUGAUUGGGAAGGCCAAGCUGAUCUAUCAGCAUCAGAACUGAUGAAUGUUAGCCUAAGCUAGUCUCUUUUCCCCUAGAUCUGUUGAACUUGAAUCUGUCUAAUGAUUUGCCCUUGGUAGUUUGUCUCAAGAAUGGAGAGUCCUCUUGAAAACUGUAAGAAAAGUGGUAGCACUCGGAAUUAUAGCGUCUUUUAGCUUUGUUGAGACAAUGACUCAUUACAAGAAGAUUAUUGUGUAUUUAUGUUAGUAUCUCUUGAAUCUGUUGUCUUUGUAAAUCAGGAUUGUGUUCGUGGUGCUGGCUCAGAGACAUUUUAAGACAUUGAGAACAUAUAGAGGUUGUGCUGUUCCACACAUGGCUUUGAGUCAUCAAAUUGGCACUGUAAUUACCUCGCUGCCUUAUGCACAGUAUGUAAUUUCAAAUCUAAAGCAGUAGCUCUCGGUGCUAGUCAUGAUAAAGGAAUUUCACUGAUCCUUCAAUAGCAGUGAUAAUAUCAAACGUGAAACUGAAGAGGGGAAGAGCGCAGUGACUGUGGAGGACUCAUCACCCAAUGAGUUAGCGAGCCAGAUUGCUGAGGGCAGGCUUCAUUUCUGUCACUGGAUAACAAUACUGAUAGGAAAGCUUCAGAUCUGAAUGCCAGAUAUGAGCAGAUAUCUGAGCAGAUGCGAGCAGAUAACUUUACAGCCUUCUCCAGGCACCAUCCACACAAGAAAUAUUUUUUAUAUAUCUUCCUUUUUUGUGGUAUUUAUUCACAGAACUGACUUUAAAUGAGUACACAAUCAGUUAGACUUGGCUCUGAGAAGCUUCUUCUCUGUGGACUGUUCACAGUGUGCUGUUUUGUCUGUUUUUUCUUGGGGAGCUACGGAAGUGAACAUAGUGAUCCAGUGUCUCAGGAUCUUGUCCGUGACGUUUUCUGGUAGGCUCAUUGUCUGAUCAUAGCUACAUCCUGUUUCUUAAUCCUCUCUUCAGAGUAAACUCUGGCAGGCAGGAUCUGGGGGGAGGGCUGCCUUAAAAGUGUUUAAUUGUCAGUAAUUAGUCACAGUAACUCAUUCUGAAGAUCUAAUUAGAUUGGAAGAAAGGCAUCAAUUUUAUUUCAAUUUCAUUUUUUCAGGAGAAUCUUGAACACAGUGAACACAUCUCAGAAAAUGUGUACCUUUUUUUUUGGCUUAUGUGUAAAAUCACUAGGUGAGAUUUGAAGAAAGCAUGAAACAAAAUACUGGGAGUGCAUAAAUGGUAACUGCUGUGUUGUUUUUUUCAAGAAAAGUAACCGAUAUUAUCUGUACACACGCAUAUAUAUAUAUAUAAUAUUAUGUGUCUGAGAUAAGUGCUUGGGUUUAAAAAAAUAAAUAAACCAAAACCCGAAAUAAGUUCAAGAUAACAUCACUUAAAAAGAUAGAAUUGAAGGCCUUAAGUAGUUACAUAGGUUUACCAAAUCAAGUUGCUUGCCCCAAGAGCGUAAGGUUGCCUGUGUUAUGUUCUACUUGAAACUAUUUAGAAAAAAAUGCUCAAAAUGCAUUCAUUUCUAUAGAAGAGACAAGUGUGUUUCUUCUCCAUUAAGAGAUUUAUGUUUUAUCAAAAUAAUCUGUGUACAUGUCUAGCUGCCAGGUUUGACUAUUACAAAACCACAGUCUAAAACUUGGAAGUUGUAUACUUCAGAAUUCUUUCUUUUUUUUCUUUCUUCCUUUUUUUUUUUUUUUUUUUCUUAAUAUGUUUUUCUGUCCAUAUAUAUUCUGAAGAAACCGCAGAGAUUGAGCUCGGAGGCUCUCGCAGUGCUGGAAAUUGCUCGAGCAGGCAGUAUCACUGAAAAGAUAGCCAAGGUGACUGGCUCAAAAAUAGCACAAGAGUUGCAGAUCCUGCAACAAGACUCACAGCAGUGAUUUAUUAAGUUGAUUAAAGCUUUUCUUUCUCUACUAAAAGGGUAGCGUGGAUGGAAGGUUUGUUUGGUCCUUAGUGUGGUCUUGUGCCAUGUAAGGAAAACGUCCUGACGUGCAUUAGUACCGCAGUCUGGGUGUUCUACUGAAGUGCUGAGAAAUUGCAGUUAUUUACAAGCCAGCUUGAGGGUGGUUGGCCCCAGUACUCUGUACAGAAUCUGGGCACCACUGCUUUGGUCCCUGGUUGCUGCCUGAUGGAGUAGGGUCAUGUUUUGGUCACAUUGUUGUGUUUUCUAAGUAGCAGUGGAUACAGAAGGCUUGUUUUGCCCUAAUACCUGACUUUCUUCUGUGUUCAAUAUAACCACCAAACUUAUUUUCACUUCCUUUUUAGGAAUAACUUAUCCCCUAACUUUGUAUAAAUAAGCACAAAUAACGGUACCUCGUAAAGCAGUUACAGACCGUUUAUUACUUGUCUUUCUCUAGAAACCUGAGUGGGUGUGCUAACUGACUGCCUUGAGGAAAACAUAAUUACGUUUGACAUGCGUUUUUCAGGUGCAAAAAUUAGUUGAAAUAAAAUAAUCUCAGUGCAGAAAUAGCUCCUUCUCAAGUGCACUUUGACAUUCCAUUUGUGUUAAAAUGCCUUUUAAUUCUCUGUACAAAAUAAGAAACUCGUGGGCGGCACGAGUUAAAUUGCCACUGGAGCCGUACAGCCCAUUGUAGUUCCUUCCUCAGGGUAAGCACUGAGAACGCUCCUGCUUACAUUGCUCAGGACUGAAGAUUUUGCCUUUUGUAAGGUGCCACAUUCAAUCUAUCUCAGAUAAUCUCACACGUUGCUGAGUGAAGUGGCUGUAUGUGAGAGCUCGGUAGUACACAUGCAUUCUUGGGAGCUGCAGUGUCGGCACUCGCUGCUGCUGGAGGAAGUCUAAAGCCCGUUUAAUUCAUCGUCCUGUCCUUGCCACUGAAAAUGGCGUGGUUCAAAGGAAGGUACAGGAACUCUACAGCAGCAGUUAUGAGAUAAUCUGUCAUCCUUACGUGUCUCGUCCUGAUCUAGGAGGUCAUUGAAUCUAAUAAGACAAUCUGUUAAGCUUUGAAAUAUGUGGCUUAAUAUCUUUACAUAAGGCAUAUCGUCACAUUUACUCUGGUAUGAAAAUUACAUGGGGUUAUCAUUAGAGUUCCCCUUUCAGUUUUGUAAAGCUGUGUACUUCACGGGUUCCUGUAAAUAAAGAGUUCCACUGGUUGUUUACAUGCACCGGAGAAAUACAUUUUCUUGCUUAGUUUUCCCACAUUUUAACUCCAUGGAGAAUCGCCUUAUUCUUGUGUUAGAAAAUGAGAGGAAGUUGUUCACAGUCAACUUCUUUUAGGUUAACCAGCGUGUAAUAUAUUUUUGUGAUACUUGCAUGGCUUUACGACCCAUACUCUCGAAAAUCUGAAGUUAGUUCCUUAUGUUAGUACACUGCACCAAAACGUCACACCAAGCAGUUAUGGUUCUGUUCUAGCUUUUUGUCUUUAAUAUGCAUAACAUCGUACGUUAACUGUAGGAUAUCUAUGCCACAUCACGAGCAGGUUCAGACUGGCUCACACAGGGCACCUCUACUUGUGCUGAAAAAAAAUGAUCUUUAAGCUUACAAAGAAGUUUCUGUUCUAGAGGCCCUAUUGUACUCUGUGGAUUUUUUUUUUUUAAAUAUUGUUGUAUAAGUCUACCAAGAUUGCUCAACAAUUCCUAAUAAAAGAUCAUUGUUUUCAGUUGCUUGGAGUAUUACCAAACUUAACUAAUCAAUGAUUUUUGAAUAGUCGUUGCACAAAAUGGGCAUAGCUUUCACAAGGAUAAGAUGGGUGGAAAUGUCAUUGGAUUUUAUGUUUCAGUCUUACUAUGCAAAAACUUUGUUGAAGAACCCUUGGACCUUCAGUUCCUUGAGAAAGGACUUUGAGCUGGGGGGUUUGACGGUAUUCUUGACGCAGAGGGCCAUGUUGAACUGAUGUCUAAGCCUCUGACAGCAUUAAAUAUCUAUUUAUUUCUGUGGUGGCCAAACUCUGGUGUUCUGGCCCCAGAAGACCGGGCUGAGCGAUUCUUUCCCACGUGUUGCAUGUCACUGUGGUGCUGGGCAGCGGGACUGAAAGCAAGGAGAGAUGCAGUGGAGACCAGCAAGGAGCAGGAGUAAAGAGGUUGGGGUGUCGUGAUGGGGAGCCCAGGGAACUGUCCCGUCAGUAAGCCAGAUGGCAGCAUGGUCAGAGCCAUUUUCCUUUCGGUUUGAGACCUGCAGUCUGCUGCCCUGCUCUCCUGAGUCAUCCCCGGACAUCCCCAGUUCACAGAAGGAAACUGGAGCCGUGUCCUAACAGAAGUUUUUGAGUUUCGUACUCCAUAUUUAUCAUCUGAGGAGCUGCACGUUGUGGUUUCUCUAACGAUGGAGCUGAAUCCCCGUCUGAUGGCUGGCUGGCAGCGACUGUAAUCGCUACCACGUAUGGGACCUUGUGAGCGUGCCUCCUUUGGCCUUUAUCUCUUCCAUCCUGCCUCUGGGUGCCUCCGGGAAUAAGGAGUGCUCACAGAACUUUCUUCCAAGCUUUAUUAACCAGAUUUGGAUAUCUUCAAAUAAGCUUGUUGGCCUCUGUAGGAAAUUGCAGAGUAGAGACAUCAAUCAGCCGCCCAGGCGGUGGGUGUCGCGUCUCGGGGCAGAAUGUAAACUUACCGCUAACUCUCCCUGAGCUCCUCCCCACAAAAAGAGAAAAAGAUUCCUUUCAUCCAGACCCCUUCUCCAAGUUAAUGCGGGGAGGACAUUUAUGAUUAAUCUCUCACCAGUUACACUGCUCGUGGAAGUCAACUCUUAUUAUAGGCUGCUGGAGAUUCCUGGUUUUGAUGAGAGACAAACUGGGAUUUAUUGAACUAAGUUGGCAUUUCUCACUUGGGUGUAACACCAGUGAAAGUAAAGACAUAACGCUUGAAAGAAAAAGCCUGAAAUGUUAGAAUAUUUUGAAAAAGCUUUAUCCGUGUUUACAUCUUCAUUAAAACUUUUCCACUGUUAACAUUGAUAGGAGACAGAACCAAGAGCUGCCAUCCAAACUUUUGUGAUAAAAAUAAAGCAACUGCUUGUUUUUUUCUUCUUGCCUACUUCAGAAGAAUAUUUUAGAAGUUGCUUGUUUGUGUAUAUAAAGAACCUUGAAGACUUAGUGCUGUGCAGAGGUACUGCUUCUCCCAAGCAGCCUGGAAAGUGCACUACUGUGUGAUCUCUCCUUUUUGAGUGUGCUCAACAGAGAAGAGGGGCUAACAAAAGAAGGGUACACACUGGGUUCACUUUAAAGUUAUCUCAGCAGUUAGUGCGACUACGGAUUCUCCAGCAUCUCAGCAGCAUAACACUUGAGCAAGAGGGUCACCGUGACCGCUGCUCGUCUUGCUGUGCUGUUUGACUCACUAUUUACUUAUUUUGCCUAUGUCAGGUUUCGUUUUCAAACUGUGUACGAUACAAACUUGAAAUAGCAGGCGUUUUCUGGAGAAAAACAUAAAUACAAUGUCAUAUGUGGAAUCAUUCAUACUGAAAAGUAUUAAUGAGCUAAGAUCCCAGCUAAGCAUGUCAAUGUGUUACGUGAGGCAUUAUUUUUAAUUUUUAUUAGUAACAAAAUGUAUCAGUUACUUAAUAAUAAAUCAGUUAUUAAUAAGCAAUAAAAUGUGGAUAUCUAGGACUUUUCAAGGCAAAAAGACUGUGAGCUCAGGCAUUUUUCUUUCACACUUUCUGAAUUGCUCAGUAACCCACAAAUCCAUAGGCAGUUGAAGAGGUCUGUCUAUACAGAGCGCAUUACUGGAUAGGGGUAAUAAAGCUGGAUGACUCGGCGAUGAUAAAAAUCUGUUUCUCUUUCCUUUUGAAAUAGAAAGCGUGAUUUUAUUCAUGAAACAAAAAUCAAAUACAAUGCUAUCUUACCAUUGUAUUAAAAUAAACUGGUAGGAACAAACAAAACAUUUUUAUUGUCUCAGCUGAUCUUAGUGAAAAUCAGUUCCAGUCAGUAGGUUUACACCACGUAGUCAGUGUGUAUGAGAUCAGUCUGAUCUAGAGGGUUCAUGGCUUUUGGUUUUCUUUUUCUCUUUUUCUUUUUUUUUUUCCCCCACAAACUUUUGAAGCUAAUAUCCCUUUUUGGUUUAGUACUGAAGUAGUUCUGUGCUCCAAACAAACAAACAAACAAACAAAAAAAAAACACACAAAACCACAAACAACCUGGAUAUAUUAUGUGUUUUGAAAGGGUUUUCCUUUCUACAACCAACAUUAUGAGGAUUCUUUUUUUGUAUAUUUUUAGUGAAUUGUAAAUUAUUGCAUGUUUCGUAUGAUAGCAGUCAUUUGCAAGAGCUGAAACUAAACCUUAGUUUCUACUAUUUCUUCUUGGUUCUCCUGCUUCUCGUGACUUUAUGAAAAUUACCUUCAUGAGUUAUAUUGUGCUGAAGAGGUGAUUUGAUUGCUGAUCUCAUUCCACUUUUCAGAGUCGUGAUGCAUCAUCUGGUUAGCUAGAGAUGACGGGUCUUGAAGAAUUCUCAGCUAAGGGCAAAGUCUGGUGAAUAAUUGUCUAAUUAAGUAGACUGAAAAAAAAUAAAGAAAAAAAAGAUAAUGCCAUGUGAUAGUGUCAUUGUCUAUAUUCCUGGGCUUAGGAGCAGUGGAGGAGCUGCAAUAGCACAUGCUCCUAAAAGAUAGGAGCUAGUAUCCCCUGCUGUCAUUUUUAUUGCCAGCCAAAUCCUUUCCUUCAC